UACGUAGGGGGCUAGCGUUGUCCGGAUUCAUUGGGCGUAAAGAGCGUGUAGGCGGCCAGGUAGGUCAGCUGUGAAAACUGGAGGCUCAACCUUCAGACGUCGGCUGAAACCAUCUGGCUAGAGUCCGGGAGAGGAGAGUGGAAUUCCUGGUGUAGCGGUGAAAUGCGCAGAUAUCAGGAAGAACACCCGUGGCGAAAGCGGCUCUCUGGAACGGUACUGACGCUGAGACGCGAAAGCGUGGGGAGCGAACAGGAUUAGAUACCCCAGUAGUC
rnacentral:rRNA from 1 species